rnacentral:rRNA from 1 species
UACGUAGGGGGCAAGCGUUGUCCGGAUUUAUUGGGCGUAAAGAGCGUGUAGGCGGCCUGAAAGGUCAGCUGUGAAAACUCGAGGCUCAACCUCGAGACGUCGGUUGAAACCGUAUGGCUAGAGUCCGGAAGAGGAGAGUGGAAUUCCCGGUGUAGCGGUGAAAUGCGCAGAUAUCAGGAAGAACACCCGUGGCGAAGGCGGCUUUCUGGGACGGUACUGACGCUGAGACGCGAAAGCGUGGGGAGCGAACAGG